rnacentral:snoRNA from 1 species
GUGCUGUUGAAGUGAUGAGUUUCUAAUGUCUCUUCUCUGACAAUAAUAAUGGAGAGCAUAAAUACCUCUGAUCUCAGCAU